GACGAACGCUGGCGGCGUGCCUAAUACAUGCAAGUCGAGCGAACCAAUAGGAGCUUGCUCCUGUUGGUUAGCGGCGGACGGGUGAGUAACACGUGGGCAACCUGCCUGUAAGACUGGGAUAACACCGGGAAACCGGUGCUAAUACCGGAUAAUCUUUUUCCUCUCAUGAGGAAAAACUGAAAGUCGGUUUCGGCUGACACUUUCAGAUGGGCCCGCGGCGCAUUAGCUAGUUGGUGAGGUAACGGCUCACCAAGGCGACGAUGCGUAGCCGACCUGAGGGGGGGAUCGGCCACACUGGGACUGAGACCCGGCCCAGACUCCGACGGGAGGCAGCAGUAGGGAAGCUUCCACAAUGGACGAAAGUCUGAUGGAGCAACGCCGCGUGAGCGAUGAAGGCCUUCGGGUCGUAAAGCUCUGUUGUUAGGGAAGAACAAGUACCGGAGUAACUGCCGGUGCCUUGACGGUACCUAACCAGAAAGCCACGGCUAACUACGUGCCAGCCGCCGCGGUAA
rnacentral:rRNA from 1 species